rnacentral:rRNA from 1 species
UACCGAGGUCCCAAGCGUUGUUCGGAUUCACUGGGCGUAAAGGGUGCGUAGGUGGUUGGGUAAGUCUGAUGUGAAAUCUCCGGGCUCAACCCGGAAAUGGCAUUGGAUACUAUUCGGCUAGAGGUUUGGAGGGGGGACUGGAAUUCUCGGUGUAGCAGUGAAAUGCGUAGAUAUCGAGAGGAACACCAGUGGCGAAGGCGAGUCCCUGGACAACACCUGACACUGAGGCACGAAAGCUAGGGGAGCAAACAGG